rnacentral:rRNA from 1 species
UACGGAGGUGGCAAGCGUUGCUCGGAAUCACUGGGCGUAAAGGGCGCGUAGGCGGGGAGGUAAGUCGGGGUGUGAAAUCCCUCGGCCCAACCGAGGAACUGCGCCCGAGACUGCUUCUCUUGAGUCCCGGAGAGGAAGAUGGAAUUCCCGGUGUAGCGGUGAAAUGUGUAGAGAUCGGGAGGAACACCGGUGGCGAAGGCGGUCUUCUGGACGGUGACUGACGCUGAGGCGCGAAAGCGUGGGGAGCAAACGGG